GCCGGGGUAGUCUAGCCAGGUAAGGCGCCAGACUGAUAAUCUGGUUGAUCACACCAGAUCAUCGCGGGUUCGAAUCCCGUCCCCGGCG
rnacentral:tRNA from 1 species